GGUAAGACACAUAAUACACAGGCAAUAACAGGUAAUAACAGGUAAUAUCAGGUAAGACACAUAUAAUACACAGGUAAUAAACAGGCAAUAACAGGUAAGACACAGAUAAUAUACAGGCAAUAACAGGCAAUAACAGGUAAUAACAGGCAAUAACAGGCAAUAACAGGUAAUAACAGGCAAUAACAGGUAAUAACAGGUAAUAUCAGGUAAGACACAUAUAAUACACAG